rnacentral:lncRNA from 1 species
UUUUAGUGGCAUGUCAAAAUAGUACAUGUGUUACAUAACUCAAAUGGAUAAUCUAUUCCCUUUUACCGCAAAAAUGAUCCUACCAUCAUCAUUGUGUGAGUUCCCAUACAUGGUGCAUCAUGAUUUAUAUAUCCUAACAACUUUUUUGUCAAAGAUGAUACAUUAGGGUUGGUUUAGCAUUCAAAUAAAUAGGUUUUUUGCAUAAUAACUUCUAAAUUCAAUCCAAAAUUCAAUCUCCUGUAGUUCCUCCUACUCUUAACGCCACUGUCUCUCUCUCUCUCUCAUGAUUUAUAUAUCCUAACAACUUUUUUGUCAAAGAUGGUACAUUAGGGUUGGUUUAGCAUUCAAAUAAAUAGGUUUUUUGCAUAAUAACUUCUAAAUUCAAUCCAAAAUUCAAUCUCCUGUAGUUCCUCC